rnacentral:rRNA from 1 species
UACGUAGGCAGCAAGCGUUGUUCGGAAUUACUGGGCGUAAAGAGUGUGUAGGCGGUGCUCCAAGUCUGGUGUGAAAUCUCCCGGCUUAACUGGGAGGGUGCAGCGGAAACUAGAAUGCUAGAGGGUGGGAGAGGUAAGCGGAAUUCCUGGUGUAGCGGUGAAAUGCGUAGAUAUCAGGAGGAACACCUGUGGUGUAGACAGCUUACUGGACCACUUCUGACGCUGAGACACGAAAGCUGGGGGAGCAAACAGG